rnacentral:misc_RNA from 1 species
ACGUAAGUUAAAAUCACAACACAUCCUGCUUGCUCCAUCUUUUGCUUUGCUGAGGCCAAGGGCAGAGAUCAGAUGACGAUGUGGCCGAAAAUGAUCUGGAUCGCUUUCAUGGUUGCUGUCUCCGUCGCUCGCAUUGAUGGACUGCACAUCGUUAAGCGAAGCGCCGUGGGAGAUGGAACAAACGAGGUGAGCGCCGAUAAGGUCUCGUCGCCAUCAGCAGCAGCAACAGAGAGUGCUGGGAACAGCGGGGACUCCUCCUCCUCUUCCUCGGGUGUUUCCGUGGAUUCGUCUAAUUCUACCAUCUCCAACAUGGUUCCGUCGCCGAGCACAUCAGUGUCCAUCAUAUCCUCUACCCCUGGAAUACAGGUCACUACUGAUACAACGACUACAAGUAACUCUUCUUCAUCCAUAGCUGCAGAAGGCGGUACAGCUGCAGCCACAGCUGUAGUAGUUGGUACAGUUGCGGCAGAGGUUGUUGCCUCACCCCCAGCCAGUUCGUCAUCAGCUGGAAAUACUAGUGCUUCUUCAGCAACAAACAUCACCAAUACCGCGUCUUCAUCAACAACUGCCGCAAACGCUGGUGCGUCAUCCAGUGUCACAGCUAGUUCUGCCCCAGGCCCUAACAUGGGUAUCCAACAGUCUGCGUCUGUCAACGCCCCCAUAGUUUCCUCGAAUACUUCUGCAACCACGAAUGCAACUUCGGCAACAUCAACAGCUGGGUCAUCAGCCAAUGCAAUUGCAACAUCAGCCGACUCCAGCGCCUUUGCUUCAGCUUUUGUUCUUGUCAAUCCAUCAUCUGCUCCUGGACUAAAUGCUAGUUCUCCAAACACUUCAGUGACGUCUACAAGUACUGGUUCAUUAUCUACGACCGUGAACAACACUAGUUCCACUACAAUCGGAGCUACGGCAUUAACAACAGCAACAAGUGCCAGCACGUCAUCAACAACAAUAACAGGCGCUGGCACAUCAACAACAGGGACAAGUGCCAGCACAUUAUCAGCUGCAGAAACAAAUUCCAUCACAUCAUCAGGACCAGUUGCUAGCACACAAUCAACAGGAACAAACACUGUCCAUACGUCAUCAGCAACAGGAACAAGCUCCAUCGCGUCAUCAGCUACAGGAACAAACUCCAUCGCGUCAUCAGCUACAGGAACAAACUCCAUCGCGUCAUCAGCUACAGGAACAGUCGCUAGCCCAACGUCAACAGGAACAAACACUGUCAAUGCGUCAUCAGCAACGGGAACAAGCUCCAUCACGUUAUCAGCUACAGGAACAAACUCCAUCUCGUCAUCAGCUGCAGGAACAAACUCAAUCACUUCAUCAGGAACAGGCGCAGUCACAGCGUCAGCAGCAGGAACAAGUGCGAGCACGUCAUCGGCUUCAGGAACAAGCGCCGGCACUGCAUUGGCAUCAGGAACAAGCGCGAGUACGUCAUCGGCUAUAGGAACAGGUGCGAGCACAACAUCUACAGGAACAACAGGCGCCGUCACGGCGUCAGCAACAGGAACAAGUACGAGCACGUCAUCGGCUUCAGGAACAGGUGCGAGCACGUCAUCGGCUACAGGAACAGGUGCGAGCACAACUUCAAGAGGAACAACAGGUGCCGUGACAGCAUCGGCAGCAUUAACAAGUGCGAGCACGUCAUCGGCUACAGGAACAAGCGCCGGCACUGCACUAGCAACAGGAACAAGCGCGAGUACGUCAUCGGCUAUAGGAACAGGUGCGAGCACAACAUCUACAGGAACAACAGGCGCCGUCACGGCGUCAGCAACAGGAACAAGUACGAGCACGUCAUCGGCUUCAGGAACAGGUGCGAGCACGUCAUCGGCUACAGGAACAGGUGCGAGCACAACAUCAACAGGAACAACAAGCGCCGGCACGGCGUCAGCAGCAGGAACAAAAGCGAACACGCCAUCGGCUACAGAAAUAAGUUCCAACAUCAAUGAUAGUGCUUCCCCUGCCAGUGAAACGUCGGAAGCGAACAAAGGUCAAAAAGUGGACACAAAGGGAGUGGGGACGACGUCUGUGACGGAGGCAACAAACAAACAACUCGACACAGUCAUCCCGGAAAUACAGAACACACAGCUGUCGCUGGAGCAGAUUAAACAAUUAGUGAAGAUUUACAAACUUCGACCAAGUAACUACGGCCGCUUCUUGGAGGCCCUGCAGUGGCAGUCGUCGAAAACAGUCAGGACCAUGGACACACGCCGUAGAGUCAUCACAUCAGUUGCAGCAACGUACCAGGUGGUGCUCAAUGGAGGAGACUGUGUACCCUGGAACAGCUUCCCCUUCGACCGUACACUCACCUGGCAGGGAGGACGCGCCACGAUCCAUUUCUUCAAUCCCGAUGGACGCUAUGCCGAGCUCUGUAUGGGUAACCCUCUGACAGAAGUCGACAAGUCAUGUCGCUUCCAGGUGGUCAUUCCCAAUGACAUAAUCACCGCCAUAGACACUCCAGGAUUCGUGGUGUACAACCGAAUCAUGCAUAUUCAACACCAGGGAGAUGUUCACACGAUUGACAAUAUGUUAUCACGGGGCGCCGAGUUCGUGAAGCGGCAGGAAACAAUCCAGGAGUUCGCCUCCUGCUACAACUAAACCCUGAGGUACACAACAAGCCUGUGGGUGCUGCAUGUACAACCAAUCAACAGAAAUAACACUGUCGCUGUGGACACGCGUCAUUGUUCAACGUCUUUGUGUAACACACAUCUACAGCUCUUACUGCCCAGAGGGUCAGUUAUGUAAAAAAUAUACCAUAGACCUUUUCUCAAGACAGUCAAGGGUGUUAUAAUUAUACAUAUAUGUAUGUCUGUGUAUAUAUGGCCUUUUUUCCAGAGGGCAAGGUUGUAACAAUCACAUAUGUAACCUCCUUCCCGAAAGUUAAGGUUGUGACAAUCACAUAUGUGACCUCCUUCCCGAAGGUCAAGGUUGUGACAAUCACAUAUGUGACCUCCUUCCCGAAGGUCAAAGUUGUGACAAUCAUGACCUCUUUUCCAGGAGGUUCAAAGUUGUAACAAUCAUAUAUAUGGCCUCCAUUGUUGAGGGUCACGGUUGCAACAAACAUGACCUUCUUUCCGGAGGGGGUUGUAAUAAUCAUGGAUAUGACCUCCAUUCUAGAGGGUCAAGGUCGUGACAAUAAUGGCCUCUUUUUCUAGGGGGAUCAAGGUUGUGACCAUAACCAAAUGGUCUCUUCUCCCUAGGGUCCUGGUUGUACCAAUUUCUGGAGGUUCAGGGUUGUAUAAUUAAUAUAUACAGUCUCCUUUCUGGAGGAUCAAGGUUAUAUAAUAAAUAUACAGAACCUCUAUAGAGGGUUAAGGUUGUAACAAUUGAGUCUAUGACAUACCUUCCAGAGAGUAUGAACGUGUCAAUAGUGCUUCAUGAUCCACGUAUCACAUUGUGAAUAAAGAGAUAAUUUAUA